rnacentral:lncRNA from 1 species
AGGGAAAAUUACCCAGUAACCUGGGUUUAAAAACUAGAUUUCAUAAUUAAAGGGGAUUAAGAUUAAUUUCAUAAUUCAGGUGGGAAAUAAAAAUUAUUAAAUUAAUGUUAUGUUAAAUAAAUAUAUACAUAACACCAUGAAUCUGUCUCCCGUUCUCCUCUCUCUCUCUCUCUCUCUCUCUCUCUCUCUCUAUUUUCUAAUCCCCUGACUCCGGCGAGCACAUCCACCGCGAUGGCACCGUGAGAUCGCUGACGGCGACUUUGCCUAAAGACAUAGCAAGGCUAAUCGUCGUCUCAUAGCUAUGGUUUGGAUCUCCAAUCACGAUCGGAGCUGUUGAAGGGCUCAAAAAAAUUGGGGAGGUGGUGAAACCCUAAUCAUCUUCUCUCCCUACAUUCUCUCUAUCACAAACCACCGCUGGCAACGCUCACGAUGUCGCCACCGCCGACGAAGCGACGUGCUGUGUAGCAGCUCCUCUAAUCGCCACCGUCGGCAACACGACGUGGUGUGUAGCAGCUCCUCUAUCUUCGUUGCUGGUAUGUGAUUUUUUCCGGUGGUUGUGGACCUUGUGGUGUCUGACAUCAAUGCCGCACCGCACCNAUGGUAACUUGCACUGUAAGUAAACUGGUUUCGUCGAAAUAGAUCGUGUUGAGUUGAGCCGUUGAGACGCUAAUUAGAGGAACGUUGGGACGGAUCACGAGGUAGCCAAUGAAGACAACUAAAUGGGCGAUGAUUACUGCCACCGUGAGUAUAGUGCAGAUGAUGGCAACGCACCAGAUGAACGGGCUGGUGGUGCGGUGGCAGGGACCGUCUACUGGCUUUGGCAUUGGAAAUUGGUGGUGGCAACAUCUAGAAAAAAAGUUGUGAUUUAGAGUGUAUAAAAGGUGCUGUUUAGCUGCAAUUUGUGACUGAUGAAUGAUUAUACAUAAGUUUUGGCCUAUAAAAUGUGUGACUUGUGACCAAAAAAGUGGUGAUCAAUUAAUUUAAUAAUUUUGAUCGAUAAAAAAGUUUCAACCUAUAAAAUUUGUGAUUUGUGACUGAAUGUGACCAAUUUUAUAUUGAUUGUGACUUGAUCAUAUUUCGUCACAGUUAAAAGGUUGACCUGGUCACAGACAGACACACUGAAUACAAAUUUGAUCACAUUUAGUCACAAAGAGAAUAAAUUUGGUCACAGUUAGUUACAGAUAAUACACAUUUGUGACUUGGUUAUAGACAACCAUAAAUUAGACGGUCACAGAUAGUAACACUGAAAACAAAGUUGGUCACAGUUAGUCACAGAUUACACAAAUAGUGACUUGGUUAUAUACAGUGAUAAAUUAAACGAUCACAAACAAUCACACCGAAGAUAAAUUUGGUCACAAUUAGUUACAUAUAACAUAGAUCUUGUCGUAAAAAAAUUUGAUCACAUGCAACACAGGUUUUGAUAUAUGCAUAUUCAUUUCACCUAAUUAGGUCACAAAGUCAAUAA